GAUGAACGCUGGCGGCGUGCCUAAUACAUGCAAGUCGAGCGGACAGACGAUGAUCUUGCUCCGCUCACGUUAGCGGCGGACGUGUGAGUAACACGUGUAUAACCUCCCUAUAAUACUGGUAUAACUUCGGGAAACCGGCGCUAAUACCGUAUAAUCUCUUGCACCGCGUGGUUCAAUAGUGAAAUACGGUUUUUCUGUCACUUAUAGAUGCAUCCGCGCCGCAUUGGCUAGUUGGUAGGUUAACGGCUUACCACGGCGACCAUGCGUAGCCGACGUGAGAGGGUGGUAGGCCACACUAGAACUGAGACAGCGUCCAGAGUCCUACGGGAGGGAGCAGUAGCGAAUCGUAGGCAACGGGCGAAAGCCUGACGGAGCAACGGCGCGUGAGUGAUGACGGCGCUCGGAUCGUAAUAACCGGUUACUAGGGAUAAACAACUGUGUCAGUAAACAAGCACGUAUUGACGGUACUGGGUCAAAAAGCAACGGCUAACUACGUG
rnacentral:rRNA from 1 species